rfam:Meloidogyne hapla strain VW9 Mh10g200708_Contig3171, whole genome shotgun sequence.
UGACCUGAACUCAGUCGAGAGCACCCGCUGAACUUAAGCAUAUCAGUAAGCGGAGGAAAAGAAACUAAACAGGAUUCCCUCAGUAACGGCGAGUGAACUGGGAAAUGUCCAUCGCUUAAUCAUUUUGCCUCAGGCAUUAUGAGGUGUAGCGUAUAAGCCGUGAUCUUUGAUCAGUUGUCUCAAACAAGUCCCCUUGACAGGGGUUCCAAAGAAGGUGCAAGUCCUGUACAUUGAGAUUACUGGUUGAUAUUUGCGUGCUUUAGAGUCGGGUUGCUUGGGAUCGCAGCCCAAAGUCGGUGGUAAACUUCAUCUAAGACUUAAUAUUGCCACGAGUCCGAUAGCAAACAAGUACUGUGAAGGAAAGUUGCAAAGCACUUUGAAGAGAGAGUUAAAGAGGACGUGAAACCGGUGAGGUGGAAACGGAUAGAGUCGGCGUAUCUUGCAAGUAUUCAUUUACAUUAUUUUUGUGUUGUGAUCUCUGAGCUCCAGAUUGGGACAGAGGAAAGCAGCAUGAUUUUUUGUGAUGCAUUUGCUUGCUUGGUGCGUGGGGGUAUUUGAGGUGGAUUUGUGACCGCUAUUUUGAGGCCAGCUUGCUGGUACCCAAAUGGUGUUAACAUUUUUUGCUUUGGAUAUUUGAGUAUGGCUUACGGGCAUUUAUUGGUUCGAUCUGAGUGUAAGUUACGGUCGCAUGCGACACGUGCUUUUCAAUUAGUUCGGUCCAGUUAAUGCUCUCGUACUCUUUCCCCAUGUAAAAGCCGGUCAUCUAUCCGACCCGUCUUGAAACACGGACCAAGGAGUUUAUCGUGUGCGCAAGUUUUUGGGUGUUAAAAACCUAAAAGCGAAAUGAAAGUAAAUGAUUCUUUAGAGUCUGAUGUGCGAUCUUUUUUCAAAAAAGUGCAGCAUGGCCCCAUUCUAACUGUUUACAGUAGGGUGGCGGAAGAGCGUACGCGGUGAGACCCGAAAGAUGGUGAACUAUUCCUGAGCAGGACGAAGCCAGAGGAAACUCUGGUGGAAGUCCGAAGCGGUUCUGACGUGCAAAUCGAUCGUCUGACUUGGGUAUAGGGGCGAAAGACUAAUCGAACCAUCUAGUAGCUGGUUCCCUCUGAAGUUUCCCCCAGGAUAGCUGGAGCUCACGAGUAGUUAUACUCGGUAAAGCGAAUGAUUAGAGGACUUGGGAACGAAAUGUUCUUAACCUAUUCUCAAACUCUAAAUGGGUGUGAUGUCAAAGUUGCUUGAUUUUGAACUUUGGCGUUGAAUACGAGCUCCAAGUGGGCCAUUUUUGGUAAGCAGAACUGGCGAUGUGGGAUGAACCAAACGCGGAGUUGCGGUGCCAAAGUGCCCGCUCAUUAGACCCCAUAAAAGGUGUUGGUUGAUACAGACAGCAGGACGGUGGCCAUGGAAGUCGGAAUCCGCUAAGGAGUGUGUAACAACUCACCUGCCGAAUCAACUAGCCCUGAAAAUGGAUGGCGCUGGAGCGGGCCACCUAUACUCUGCCGUCAUUUGCUUGUAUUUUUAUUAAAAAGUCUUGCAAUGACGUGUAAGAGGGUCGUAGUGGUUGCGUUGAAGGCUUUGGGUGUGCACCCAGCUGGAGCUUCCACUAGUGCAGAUCUUGGUGGUAGUAGCAAAUAUUCAAGUGAGAUCCUUGAAGACUGAAGUGGAGAAGGGUUCCACGUGAACAGCAGUUGAAUGUGGGUCAGUCGAUCCUAAGGCACCGGCUAAUGCCGUCUAGACACUGAGGGGAGAUAAAAUACUUAACGGUAUUUUGUCCACCCGGUUGCCGAAAGGGAAGUGGGUUAAUAUUCCCACACCAGGCAUGGGAGAUGGUGAUCCGCAAGGAUUACUUUGCGCGGUGACGCAAACGAACUCGUAGACCUCGUGUGGAGUCCGGGCCAGAGUUCUCUUUUCUGGUUUAGAGAUCAUGUCCCUGGAAGUGGCUCAGCCUGAGAUAGGGAUGCUGGUCUCGUAAAGCGCAGC